GGGCCGGUAACUCAGUGGUAGAGGUUAGUCUCAUACGAACCUUAGCAUGAAAGUCAAAUAUUAACUGCUCCAAUAGUGUAGGACUGCAGCUCACCAAAGCCGUCUUCCCGAAGUCACCGGUUCGACUCCGGUUCGGCCCU